rnacentral:rRNA from 1 species
AGAACGAACGCUGGCGGCAGGCCUAAAACAUGCAAGUCGAACGCUCUAGCAAUAGAGAGUGGCGCACGGGUGCGUAACAUGUGGGAAUAUGCCUUUUGGUACGGAACAACUUUUGGAAACGAAAGCUAAUACCGUAUGGUCCCUUCGGGGUAAAGAUUUAUCGCCAAAAGAGUAGCCCGCACUGGAUUAGCUAGUUGGUAAGGUAAUGGCUUACCAAGGCGACGAUCCAUAGCUGGUCUGAGAGGACGAUUAGCCACACUGGGACUGAGACACGGCCCAGACUCCUACGGGAGGCAGCAGUUAGGAAUCUUGGACAAUGGACGCAAGUCUGAUCCAGCCAUGCCGCGUGAGUGAUGAAGGCCUUCGGGUUGUAAAGCUCUUUAGCCGACGAAUAUAAUGACUGUAGUCGGAGAAUAAGCCCCGGCUAACUUCGUGCAGCAGCCGC